rnacentral:rRNA from 1 species
AUUGAACGCUGGCGGCAGGCCUAACACAUGCAAGUCGAACGAGUGGCGGACGGGUGAGUAAUGUCUGGGAAACUGCCUGAUGGAGGGGGAUAACUACUGGAAACGGUAGCUAAUACCGCAUACCAUCGGAUGUGCCCAGAUGGGAUUAGCUAGUAGGUGGGGUAACGGCUCCCCAAGGCGACGAUCCCUAGCUGGUCUGAGAGGAUGACCAGCCACACUGGGACUAAUACACGGUCCAGACUCCGACGGGAGGCAGCAGUGGGGAAUAUUGCACAAUGGGCGCAAGCCUGAGGCAGCCAUGCCGCGUGUAUGAAGAAGGCCUUCGGGUUGUAAAGUACUUUCAGCGGGGAGGCGUUACCCGCAGAAGAAGCACCGGCUAACUCCGUGCCAGCAGCCGCGGUAAUUC